GAUGAACGCUAGCGAUAGGCCUAACACAUGCAAGUCGAGGGGCAUCACAUGAAGUAGCAAUACGGAUGGUGGCGACCGGCGCACGGGUGAGUAACACGUAUGCAACCUGCCUUCAACAAGGGGAUAACCCGUUGAAAGACGGACUAAUACCCUAUAACACAGGGGUCCCGCAUGGGAAUAUUUGUUAAAGGACAACCGGUUGAAGAUGGGCAUGCGUUCCAUUAGCUAGUUGGCGGGGUAACGGCCCACCAAGGCAACGAUGGAUAGGGGAACUGAGAGGUUUAUCCCCCACACUGGUACUGAGACACGGACCAGACUCCUACGGGAGGCAGCAGUGAGGAAUAUUGGUCAAUGGACGCAAGUCUGAACCAGCCACGUCGCGUGAAGGAAGACGGCCCUACGGGUUGUAAACUUCUUUUAUACGGGAAUAAAGUGCCCCACGCGUGGGGUUUUGCAUGUACCGUAUGAAU
rnacentral:rRNA from 1 species